rnacentral:rRNA from 1 species
UGGGGAAUAUUGCACAAUGGGCGCAAGCCUGAUGCAGCCAUGCCGCGUGUAUGAAGAAGGCCUUCGGGUUGUAAAGUACUUUCAGCGGGGAGGAAGGUGUUGAGGCUAAUAACCUCAGCAAUUGACGUUACCCGCAGAAGAAGCACCGGCUAACUCCGUGCCAGCAGCCGCGGUAAUACGGAGGGUGCAAGCGUUAAUCGGAAUUACUGGGCGUAAAGCGCACACAGGCGGUCUGUCAAGUCGGAUGUGAAAUCCCCGGGCUCAACCUGGGAACUGCAUUCGAAACUGGCAGGCUAGAGUCUUGUAGAGGGGGGUAGAAUUCCAGGUGUAGCGGUGAAAUGCGUAGAGAUCUGGAGGAAUACCGGUGGCGAAGGCGGCCCCCUGGACAAAGACUGACGCUCAGGUGCGAAAGCGUGGGGAGCAAACA